UUUCUACUCCCUCCGUCCGAAAAUACUUGUCAUCAAAAUGGAUAAAAAGAGAUGUAUCUAAAACUAAAAUACGUCUAGAUACAUUUCCUUUUAUCCAUUUUGAUGACAAGUAUUU
rnacentral:pre_miRNA from 1 species